AGGAGUUUGAUCCCGGGCUCAGAACGAACGCUGGCGGCGCGCCUAACACAUGCAAAGUCGAGCGGGAAUAAGGGGGGCAACUCCCUUUAGUACAGCGGCGCACGGGUGAGUAACACGUAGGUAAUCUGCCCUAUGCUGUGGAAAAACUCCGCGAAAGCGAAGCUAAUUCCGCAUACGCCCGCCCAACCUUCCUGAUCACGGAAAUUUCGUGGUUAGAAAAGUUGGGCGGGGAAAGAUGGCCUCUAUUUAUAAGCUAUCGGCGUUGGAUGAGCCUGCGCACCAUCAGCUAGUUGGUAGGGUAAUGGCCUACCAAGGCUACGACGGUUAUCUGGUCUGAGAGGACGGCCAGACACACUGGAACUGAGACACGGUCCAGACUCCUACGGGAGGCAGCAGUGGGGAAUAUUGCGCAAUGGGCGAAAGCCUGACGCAUUUUUCGCCUCGUGGGUGAUGAAGGUCUUCGGAUUGUAAACCCCUUUCUUUUUAGAAGAAACCUCCCGUUGCUAAC
rnacentral:rRNA from 1 species